UUAGAGCCCCAACCUUCUGCUGACUCCUGGCAGCUCUGUGCAGCUAGCCCCAAGGGUAAGGGCAUUGUCAUACAAAGACCUGGAAUAUGGCACAGCAGAGGCCAUGAGGCCUUUAAUCCUGUCUCCUCACAUGUUUCCUGUAUUGCUCUAGGCUCCAUCAGCACCCCUACCACUGCCACCAGGAACCUGGUUGUCCCCACAUGACCACAACAUACCCACCAGCAACUACAGCCGCAUGUGGUCCUCAGGGAAAGAAAAAGACCCAUUAAAGGUUAAGGAAUGAGUCUGAUUGAUAAGGCCUGUGCUCCAUACCUGUCUCUGAGGUUGAGGUUGGCCUCAUCCA